rnacentral:rRNA from 1 species
GACGAACGCUGGCGGCGUGCCUAAUACAUGCAAGUCGAACGCCGUGGGGACGGGUGAGUAACACGUGGGUAACCUCCCAUCCGAGGGGAUAACCCUUGGAAACAGGUGCUAAACCGAUACUGAUGGAUGGACCCGCGGUGCAUUCGCUAGUUGGUGCGGUAACGGCUCACCAAGGCCACGAUGCAUAGCCGACCUGAGAGGAGGACCAGCCACACCGGGACUGAGACACGGCCCGGACGCCUACGUGAGGCAGCAGUGGGGAAUAUUGCGCAAUGGGGGCAACCCUGAUGCAGCCAUGCCGCGUGAAUGAAGAAGGCCUUCGGGUUGUAAAGUUCUUUCGGUGACGAGGCGUUAAUUACAGAAGAAGCACCGGCUAACUCCGUGCUAGCCGCCGCGGUAAUAC